rnacentral:tRNA from 1 species
GGGGAUCUGGCUCAGUGGAAGAGCGCUUGCCUAGUAAGCACAAGGCCCUGGGUUCGGUCCCCAGCUCCG